rnacentral:tRNA from 1 species
UUAGCUGAAACCAAAAAGAGGUAUAUUACUGUUAAUAAUACAAAUGAACGAAGUUCCAGCUAAG